CUACAGGUUGAAGCAAUACUUGUAAACAUUUUUGGUGGGAUCGUCAACUGUGCCAUUAUAGCCAAUGGUAUUACCAAAGCUUGCCGAGAGCUUGAGCUGAAAGUACCUCUGGUGGUCAGACUGGAAGGAACAAAUGUUCAUGAAGCCCAGCGUAUUCUGAAUGAAAGUGGACUCCCCAUCACGUCUGCAAAUGACCUUGAGGAUGCAGCAAAGAAGGCAGUGGCUAGUGUGGCCAAAAAAUAACAACUUGAAGAUUAUUCUCGUGGAAAGCGUGUGUUUGUGUUUCACAAGAGGUCAUUCCUGUUGUUGUUUCAGAGAGGAUUAGUGGAGUUUUUCUAAGCAGUCAUCAGUGUUGGUGGACUUAAUUUGUAAUACAUGGCAAACUCAGGCCAUAGGCUUGCAAGUUAGGCUUCAGAAAUUUUGCAACUACGUUCUUGAAAAGUUUGUACGUCUUCAUCUAAUUUUGGUAAUUUUCUUGUUCAGCAUUGUAAUAAGGAAUACUUCACUUCAUAAAGCUCUUUUUCUGCUUUCCUUCCAAAAUUGUCACUGAUAAACUCAUGAUAUGAUAC